CUGUUUUGCAACUUCUUGUUUAUGAGCCUGGAAGCCACGAAGUGGUGGGAAAUACGAGAUUCAAAUAUCUGGUGGCCGUGUGACUGUAUUGCAGCCCACAAAAAAGCUUGGAAACCCAGCUAGAUGGUCUGUUUUUCUAGUUCCUACAUUGGAUUUAAGUCCUACCCAUCGAGACUACUGUCUUCAGAGGGCAUCUUCAUGUGUGGGCACCAGGGCUGCGGCUGGAACCACAGUGGACACCCC
rnacentral:lncRNA from 10 species